GAUGAACGCUAGCUACAGGCUUAACACAUGCAAGUCGCGGGGCAGCAUUUUCCUAGCUUGCUAGGGAAGAUGGCGACCGGCGCACGGGUGAGUAACGCGUAUCCAACCUUCCCAUGUCCACGGGAUAGCCCGUCGAAAGGCGGAUUAAUACCGUAUGAGGUCACAUGCGGGCAUCUAAAUGUGACGAAAGGUUUGGCGGACAUGGAUGGGGAUGCGUCCGAUUAGCUUGUUGGCGGGGUAACGGCCCACCAAGGCGACGAUCGGUAGGGGUUCUGAGAGGAAGGUCCCCCACAUUGGAACUGAGACACGGUCCAGACUCCUACGGGAGGCAGCAGUGAGGAAUAUUGGUCAAUGGGCGGAAGCCUGAACCAGCCAUGCCGCGUGAAGGAAUAAGGCCCUAUGGGUCGUAAACUUCUUUUGACGGGGAGCAAUAAGGUCUACGUGUAGACCGAUGAGAGUACUCGUUGAGUAAGCAUCGGCUAACUCCGUG
rnacentral:rRNA from 1 species